CGAAUUAUACGAAACUCGCUUGCGCUCGGUCAGAUACCAUAGGAAGGACACUCGUUUCGUGUAAUUCGUAUGUAAUGAGACCUCGUGUCGUAUUCUCUAUAUAGACCUUUCCACGGAACAGUGCUUCGUACCACUCUCAGUUAUCCCCCUUUGUGGUGGCGCUAGUGUCGUCCGCCAUUAAGCGGCUGCAAAUUGACAUUGACGUUUUACGUCUGGGAACUUGCUGGGUUUUUUCGAAAAUAUGUCUCGGGACAGAGGUAAGCCUUAUGAACGUGGAUCAGGGAGAAUUUGUGCUAUGAAGGACUGUACAAAUAGCCAGAGAAAUCUACGUAUAUGGAAGGAAUUGCCCUGUACAGUCCAUAAACUGCCACGGAAGGACUGCCCUUGUUUGUUUCCCUAUCAUCUCCAUAGGUUUCCUGUGAAUGAAGAUCGUCGUCGUGUUUGGGUGUCACGUGUUAAUCGGAAGGAUUUUCACCCAUCUGAUAGCAGUGUGAUAUGCUCAAUUCAUUUUUGGAUGGCCAUCCAAGCAAACAAAAUCCUGAUCCAGUCUUAAAUUUGGGAUAUCAAAGAAAGGUGACACAAGGGAGAAGGACCAUUUUCCGACACCCUCUCUCUGAUGUUUCUCGGACCCCAAGGAGCAAUCAACUGACUGAGGAGUGCCAUGCUGAAGCUGAACUGACAGAUCAACCUGUAUCUCAAGCUGAAGAGAAGGAAAAGGAGAAUGAUGACUCCAGACCAAGUGAUUGUGACUGUUGUAAACAGAAGUCUUGUUUUUGUCUUCACAGACCUAUGAUAAAAGUUCCAAACAGAACUGUAGGAGUACAGGUUCAUUUUAACAAGUCAGUAGAUCACCAUUAUGCAACCCAGCACUACACGACCAAAACAAAGAAUGUCUCUGUUCAGGUUAAUUUUCCUGCCUUUUCUGCAGACAGUAUUAAGACUGACACUGAUUCUGUGUUUUACACUGGACUUAUUCUACAAGUGUUUCUGUCAGUAAUAACUUAUCUUACAUCUGUACUGCGGUCAAACAUUAAGAUGCCACUCUCAGAUCAAACACUACUCACACUUAUGAGACUUAGGCUUGGAAUUCAGUUUCAUGAUCUCGGGAGAAGACUUUCAGUUUCCACGCAAUUAGCAAGUAAAAUUUUGGAAUUUGUAUCUCAAUUUUAGCCAGAAAGCUAAAGGAUUGCAUUGUUUGGCUCCCAAGAGAUGUUAUUAGAUCUGCAAUGCCAAUGUCCUUUAAGACUACCUAUCCACACACUACCUGCAUUAUUGACUGUACAGAAAUGUUCUUGCAACGUCCAUUUUCAUUGAAGGUUAGAGCUCAAACCUACAGUGCAUAUAAAAGUCACAAUACUGCCAAAAUUCUUGUUGUAAUUGCUCCCAAUGGGUAUAUUAUGUAUGUUUCAAGAUGCUAUGGGGGUCGUGCAAGUGAUGUGUAUAUCACCAAGAACUCGGGUUUUCUAAACUACUUGUUACCUGGUGAUGAGGUAAUGGCAGAUAGAGGCUUUACAAUAAGCAAUGAACUUUAUGCUAGAAGAGUGAAACUGAACAUUCCUGCUUUUAUGAAGGGUCGUAAACAACUGAGUGCUACAGAGUGUAUAGAAACACGCAGAAUUGCAUCUGUAAGAAUACAUGUAGAAAGAGCAAUUGCCAGGUUGAAGUCUUACAGAAUAUUGAAUCAGGUUCUACCUCUUAAUUAUGUUCAAAAGUUGGAUAAGAUAGUCAAAGUGUGUGCAGACCUGUGUGACCUCAGACCAGAACUCAUCAAGGACAAAGACUGAGUAGUCAUGUAUGUUUCAGACAUCUAGUAGGCUGCUUAAGCUUAUGAGAUGUAUGUGAUUUUGCAAUGUGAUAUUUCACCAACAAGAAUGAUAAAUUAUAAAUACAUAUUCUCAUUGAAUUGAUGUUUAAAUCAUUAAACUGAAUGUUCACCUCA
rnacentral:lncRNA from 1 species